rnacentral:rRNA from 1 species
CAGCCGCCACGGUAAAACGAAGGGUGCAAGCGUUAAUCGGAAUUACUGGGCGUAAAGCGUGCGUAGGCGGUUUGUUAAGUCUGCUGUGAAAUCCCCGGGCUCAACCUGGGAAUGGCAGUGGAUACUGGCAAGCUAGAGUGUGUCAGAGGAUGGUGGAAUUCCCGGUGUAGCGGUGAAAUGCGUAGAGAUCGGGAGGAACAUCAGUGGCGAAGGCGGCCAUCUGGGACAACACUGACGCUGAGGCACGAAAGCGUGGGGAGCAAACAGGAUUAGAUACCCCGGUAGUCCCUGUCUCUUAUAC